rnacentral:lncRNA from 1 species
GCUGGCCCCUUUGUAACAAAAGUGAAAGAGCUGCGUUUACAGAGAGAUGACUUUGAGAUCUUGAAGGUGAUUGGCAGAGGGGCCUUUGGGGAGGUUGCUGUGGUGAGGCAGAGGGACAGUGGCCAGAUUUUUGCCAUGAAGAUGCUGCAUAAGUGGGAGAUGCUGAAGAGGGCUGAGACGGCCUGUUUCCGGGAGGAGCGAGAUGUUCUAGUGAAGGGAGAUAGCCGCUGGGUGACUGCUCUGCACUACGCCUUCCAAGAUGAGGAGUACCUGUACCUGGUGAUGGACUACUACGCUGGCGGGGACCUCCUCACACUGCUGAGCCGCUUCGAGGAUCGCCUCCCACCUGAGCUGGCCCAGUUCUAUCUGGCUGAGAUGGUUCUGGCCAUCCACUCUCUGCACCAGCUGGGCUAUGUCCACAGGGAUGUCAAGCCUGACAACAUCCUGCUGGACAUGAAUGGCCACAUCCGCCUGGCAGAC